AAGUUGGACCGAAAAUGCUUGAAAAGUUGAAGGGUUUAUCUUAUUCUUAUCAUAAAAUUCUUUGCAUAGAGCUUGGCUUAGGCGAAGCUGAAACCACUUUAGAGAAGAAUUUUAGUGAGAACCAAAAAAGCAACACGACUCUCUCAACUAAUGAACCCAAUAAUCCCGACACCACUGCGGUGAUUGGUUCAGAAAGCAAAUCUCUUGAUUUGUUGUUGAUUGAUAUUUUAAAUGUGGAAGAUAUUACUUCGACGAUUUCUUCCUUGG